rnacentral:rRNA from 1 species
GAUGAACGCUGGCGGCGUGCCUAAUACAUGCAAGUCGAGCGAACGGACGAGAAGCUUGCUUCUCUGAUGUUAGCGGCGGACGGGUGAGUAACACGUGGAUAACCUACCUAUAAGACUGGGAUAACUUCGGGAAACCGGAGCUAAUACCGGAUAAUAUUUUGAACCGCAUGGUUCAAAAGUGAAAGACGGUCUUGCUGUCACUUAUAGAUGGAUCCGCGCUGCAUUAGCUAGUUGGUAAGGUAACGGCUUACCAAGGCAACGAUGCAUAGCCGACCUGAGAGGGUGAUCGGCCACACUGGAACUGAGACACGGUCCAGACUCCUACGGGAGGCAGCAGUAGGGAAUCUUCCGCAAUGGGCGAAAGCCUGACGGAGCAACGCCGCGUGAGUGAUGAAGGUCUUCGGAUCGUAAAACUCUGUUAUUAGGGAAGAACAUAUGUGUAAGUAACUGUGCACAUCUUGACGGUACCUAAUCAGAAAGCCACGGCUAACUACGUGCCAGCAGCCGCGGUAAUACGUAGGUGGCAAGCGUUAUCCGGAAUUAUUGGGCGUAAAGCGCGCGUAGGCGGUUUUUUAAGUCUGAUGUGAAAGCCCACGGCUCACCCGUGGAGGGUCAUUGGAAACUGGAAAACUUGAGUGCAGAAGAGGAAAGUGGAAUUCCAUGUGUAGCGGUGAAAUGCGCAGAGAUAUGGAGGAACACCAGUGGCGAAGGCGACUUUCUGGUCUGUAACUGACGCUGAUGUGCGAAAGCGUGGGGAUCAAACAGGAUUAGAUACCCUGGUAGUCCACGCCGUAAACGAUGAGUGCUAAGUGUUAGGGGGUUUCCGCCCCUUAGUGCUGCAGCUAACGCAUUAAGCACUCCGCCUGGGGAGUACGACCGCAAGGUUGAAACUCAAAGGAAUUGACGGGGACCCGCACAAGCGGUGGAGCAUGUGGUUUAAUUCGAAGCAACGCGAAGAACCUUACCAAAUCUUGACAUCCUUUGACAACUCUAGAGAUAGAGCCUUCCCCUUCGGGGGACCAAGUGACAGGUGGUGCAUGGUUGUCGUCAGCUCGUGUCGUGAGAUGUUGGGUUAAGUCCCGCAACGAGCGCAACCCUUAAGCUUAGUUGCCAUCAUUAAGUUGGGCACUCUAAGUUGACUGCCGGUGACAAACCGGAGGAAGGUGGGGAUGACGUCAAAUCAUCAUGCCCCUUAUGAUUUGGGCUACACACGUGCUACAAUGGACAAUACAAAGGGCAGCGAAACCGCGAGGUCAAGCAAAUCCCAUAAAGUUGUUCUCAGUUCGGAUUGUAGUCUGCAACUCGACUACAUGAAGCUGGAAUCGCUAGUAAUCGUAGAUCAGCAUGCUACGGUGAAUACGUUCCCGGGUCU